rnacentral:rRNA from 1 species
GUUGAAGUUGGGAAUUAAGAAAAAUAAUUGAAAAUUAAGUAAGUAAUGUUUAAUAAAAAUUAUAUUUUAACUAUAGUCUAAAGUACUGUGAAGGAAUUUAUAAAGUUUAAUGAAAAUUUUUAUAGUAGAUAUUAAUUUUUGUACCUUGUGUAUCAGGGAAAAUUUAAUUUAGUUAAUAAAUUUAAUGGUCCCGAAAUAAAAAUAGCUAAUUUUAUAAGAUAGUUAUUGUAAAAUAAUAUUAUUAAUAUAAAAUUAAAGGUGAUAUGUUAUUCGAUUUUUAUUAUAUCUGGUUUUUUAAGAUAUAAAUAUUAAUUUAGUUUUUUAAAAUUGAAAUUUUUAAAAAUUAAAGAACAGGAGGGAUUAGCUUCUUGUUAAGUAAGGGAUUAUAAUUAUAUAGGAUAAUUAUUAAUAUUAGGCUUAAGAGUAGCCAUAAAUAUAAAGUGUUAUAACUAAAAGAUUAUUGUUAAUUAUUUUUAUUUGAUUUAAUUAGUUAUUAAAAUAUAUAUAUAAGCUGGAAAUAUAUAGUUAUAAUGAUUUUAUUAGUAUAAAGUAUUUAUGUUUAAGUAAAAAAUUAAAAUGAUAUUUAUGGUUUAAUAAUUUAUGCAGAUAUAUUAAAGGAACUCGGCAGUAUUUUUUUGCCUGUUUAUCAAAAACAUGUCUAUUAGAUAUUUAUUUAUAGUCUGGCCUGCUCACUGAUAAAAAUUAUUUAAGAGCCGCAGUAUUUUGACUGUGCAAAGGUAGCAUAAUCAUUAGUUUCUUAAUUAGAAACUUGUAUGAAUGGUUGGACAAAAAAAAUUCUGUCUUUGGUAUAAAAAUUGAAUUUAACUUUUAAGUGAAAAGGCUUAAAUUUUUCAAGGGGACGAUAAGACCCUAAAAACUUUAUAAGUUAUUGAAGUUUAAUUGGAAUUAAAAAAUAAUUAUUUAAUUUCAAUACUGUAUUUUGUUGGGGCGACAUGAGUAUAAGUAUAAAUAACUGCUUAGAUUUAAAACAUUUAUAGUUGAACACUAAAUGAUCCUUAUUAAAGAUUUAAGAUUAAGUUACUUUAGGGAUAACAGCGUAAUUUUCUUUGAGAGUUCUUAUCGAAAAGAAAGUUUGCGACCUCGAUGUUGAAUUAAAUAUCUUUUUAAUGCAGUCGUUAAAAGAAGAAGGUCUGUUCGACCUUUAAAUUUUUACAUGAUUUGAGUUCAGACCGGCGUGAGCCAGGUCGGUUUCUAUCUCUUGAUAGUAAAAUAAUUAUUUUAGUACGAAAGGAUUAAAUAAUUAAAAUAAUUUUUUUGAAUUUGGAAUA